rnacentral:lncRNA from 10 species
CAGCCGCACGCUGGAAAACGCAACACACAGCCCACACAGCCCUGUGGGGGCAGCUAAGCCCAAAACCCUGGCGUGGCCCAGCAGGAGCAGGCCUGUGCGGAGUGGACCUGCACACACAGCAAACGCACACACCGCGAACGCACACACCGGAUGCUUCCCGCUGUGGAGACCCACAAGGCAAUGUCUUCUGAAGUUAAAAGGAUGCCAGGAUCCAGCAG